rnacentral:misc_RNA from 1 species
AAGUCGUAACAAGGUUUCCGUAGGUGAACCUGCGGAAGGAUCAUUAACACGUAUCCAAACGUUAAACCCCCCCGUGAACCUUCAGUGUACUCGUACGUCCGUUAGAAAAAGCAGCAAUCCCUGGUAAAUCAUCGCCGAACAGUUUUCGAUUCAUCGACCAAAAACCGAACAACUGUUAACAAUGGAUAUCUUGGUUCUC